rnacentral:rRNA from 1 species
GACGAACGCUGGCGGCGUGCUUAACACAUGCAAGUCGAACGGGAAGGCCCUGCUUGCAGGGUACUCGAGUGGCGAACGGGUGAGUAACACGUGGGUGAUCUGCCCUGCACUUCGGGAUAAGCCUGGGAAACUGGGUCUAAUACCGGAUAGGAGCCAUUUUUAGUGUGAUGGUUGGAAAGUUUUUUCGGUGUAGGAUGAGCUCGCGGCCUAUCAGCUUGUUGGUGGGGUAAUGGCCUACCAAGGCGGCGACGGGUAGCCGGCCUGAGAGGGUGGACGGCCACAUUGGGACUGGGAUACGGCCCAGACUCCUACGGGAGGCAGCAGUGGGGAAUAUUGCACAAUGGGCGCAAGCCUGAUGCAGCGACGCCGCGUGGGGGAUGACGGCCUUCGGGUUGUAAACUCCUUUCGCUAGGGACGAAGCUUUUUGUGACGGUACCUAGAUAAGAAGCACCGGCUAACUACGUG